rnacentral:rRNA from 1 species
UACGAAGGGGGCUAGCGUUGCUCGGAAUCACUGGGCGUAAAGGGUGCGUAGGCGGGUCUUUUAAGUCAGGGGUGAAAUCCCGGAGCUCAACUCCGGAACUGCCCUUGAAACUGCAGUGCUAGAAUCUUGGAGAGGCGAGUGGAAUUCCGAGUGUAGAGGUGAAAUUCGUAGAUAUUCGGAAGAACACCAGUGGCGAAGGCGACUCGCUGGACAAGUAUUGACGCUGAGGUGCGAAAGCGUGGGGAGCAAACAGG